UACGUAGGGAGCGAGCGUUGUCCGGAAUUACUGGGCGUAAAGGGCGCGUAGGCGGGGAUUUAAGUAAGGUGUGAAAACUCCGGGCUCAACCUGGAGACUGCACUUUAAACUGGAUCUCUUGAGGGCAGGAGAGGAAAGUGGAAUUCCUAGUGUAGCGGUGAAAUGCGUAGAUAUUAGGAGGAACACCAGUGGCGAAGGCGACUUUCUGGACUGUACCUGACGCUGAGGCGCGAAAGCGUGGGGAGCGAACAGG
rnacentral:rRNA from 1 species